GGGGGUUUAGCUCAGUGUUUAGAGCGCUUGCCUAGGAAGCGCAAGGCCCUGGGUUCGGUUCCCAGCUCCG
rnacentral:tRNA from 1 species